rnacentral:rRNA from 1 species
AGUCGAACGGCAGCACGGGAGCAAUCCUGGUGGCGAGUGGCGAACGGGUGAGUAAUAUAUCGGAACGUGCCCAAUCGUGGGGGAUAACGCAGCGAAAGCUGUGCUAAUACCGCAUACGAUCUACGGAUGAAAGCGGGGGACUCAGCAAUGGGCCUCGCGCGAAUGGAGCGGCCGAUAUCAGAUUAGCUAGUUGGUGGGGUAAAGGCUCACCAAGGCGACGAUCUGUAGCUGGUCUGAGAGGACGACCAGCCACACUGGAACUGAGACACGGUCCAGACUCCUACGGGAGGCAGCAGUGGGGAAUUUUGGACAAUGGGCGCAAGCCUGAUCCAGCAAUGCCGCGUGCAGGAUGAAGGCCUUCGGGUUGUAAACUGCUUUUGUACGGAACGAAAAGACUCCUUCUAAUAAAGGG